UGGAAAGUUGAGGUGUAGACUGUGUUGCAG
rnacentral:piRNA from 1 species